AUGGAGGGGCGCACAGGGUACCGCAUGGGUUUUGUGGGCCUCUCUGCCCGUGGGCCCCCGUCUCCUGCAGGGACACUAACCCUCUCCUCCUCGUCCUCUGUUUUCCUUCGAGCGUCUGUGCAGGUUCUGACCAUGAGUCACUCCACGGCUCAGGCUCCUGUGAAAUCCGUUUCUGGUGCUGCUCCUCCCACACCUGCCCCAGUGGUUCCUGUCGCCCUGCCCGUGCUGGCCCUGCCGUCACGACUUGCCCCAGGUUCAGCUGCCCGGGUCCCCAUUUGUCGUCUACGAUCAUGGUUGCCAAACCUACUGCUGCCUUUUCUCAUGAUUUUUUCUUGUUUCUUACUGAUAAAGGACCCCUUUAUCUACUCGCGUGGAUCUCACCCGUUGGCUGUAUUUGAUUUGAGGUCUUCAUGCUCAUCUACAUCACAUUCUCGGUGCAUCUGUCCCCGUGACGGUGCCCCACACGCUGAGCAGGGGCCGCGCACCGGCGCCUCUGGCCACUGUGGCCCGAGAAUGCGCAUUCUGGCUCUGGUUCUGUGUCGUGAGCUGCCCGGCCUAGCCGCGUGUCCCCAGAGCCCGAGGGGGACGGGAGACGCCUCCCGUGAGACCAAAUGUAUGUUUGCUCUGCAUCGUGCUUCUGGCUCCCUAACCCCCUGGGGUUUUCCAGCAGGGCCUGGGGGCCUGAGGAGGCCGGGACCACCCCCCUGCCACACACACACACAGCAAACCUCCACCAGCUGCUCCGCGGGGCCCUGUGAAGCUGGGAAGGACUCCGGGGCAGCGAGGGGCAAAUACUGUCCCCCCUCAAGAAGGUCGAGUUAUUCACUAGCCUCCAAAAUAAAUAAAUGAGCACCACAGUACUUAACGGAACGUGUUUUAAUUCUUACCUUGACCAGAGAAGUAAUCCCCCUGCCGGACAUGAGUGCGUGCUUCCAGGUCGUCCUGCACACUUGUCCC
rnacentral:lncRNA from 1 species